GAUGAACGCUGGCGGCGUGCCUCAAACAUGCAAGUCGAGCGGGGCUAUGUAAUAUCGCAAGGUAGAACAUAGCCUAGCGGCGAACGGGUGAGUAACACGUGGGUAACCUGCCUGGAAGACAGGGAUAACGAUUCGAAAGGGUCGCUAAUACCUGAUAAUAUCCUUUCAUCGCAUGGUGAUAGGAAGAAAGGGGAAACCCGCUUUCAGAUGGGCCCGCGUCCCAUCAGCUAGUUGGUAAGGUAAAGGCUUACCAGGGCGACGACGGGUAGCCGGUCUGAGAGGAUGUACGGCCACACUGGGACUGAGAUACGGCCCAGACUCCUACGGGAGGCAGCAGUUGGGAAUCUUAGGCAAUGGACGAAAGUCUGACCUAGCGACGCCGCGUGAGGGAAGAAGGCCUUCGGGUUGUAAACCUCUGUCAUGGGGGAAGAAGUAAGUGACGGUACCCCAAGAGGAAGCCCCUGCUAACUACGUGCCAGCAGCCGCGGUAAGGAGUAGUACA
rnacentral:rRNA from 1 species